UUGGAUGCAAAGCUUUCUCAGUUUAACAGUGACCCGAGUGUCCCUGCGCUUCAGGACAGAGCUUUCUACCUUAAGGUCCCAACAAGUGCUUUUUGGUGCCAGUGCUAGCGUUUCAUGUUUGCUGUCAAGUGCUCUACCACCGAGCUGCAUCUCCAAACCCACACAGGAAGCCUUGUAAAAAAAAAAAAAAAAAAAAAAAAAAAAAAGAAAUGAAAGAAAACACCAGAGCACAUUCAACAUUGUGAGAGAAAACAAAAGUUGCCUACCACAUCUGGAAAGCUCUGGAUGGGAGAAACCAAAAUUCUCUCUACCAAGCUCCAGCACAACUGGUGGGAAUUUGAAGGUGAAGUGUUGCCUCCUGGCCCCCCCCCCCCCCCGCGGUUGCACACAGGUUGGCUAUAGAAAAUCACAGCAGGAUGGAGCCUCCAUUUCCUGCUUUGCAAACAGGGCGUGGCCCAACUCCUACUUCAGCAUCUCCUCACAGACUCAGGGGUGGGGGAGAGUGCAAACAACCAUAGGUGCAAGCAGAGCGGAUCUCCCUUAUGCAAAGAGACGUUGUCAACUCUACAUACAGAAUGUCGCCUGUCUGUCUGCCUUUUCCUCGGCAAUUGCUGAGCCAGUCGUUGGAAAGGAGCAAGGCAAAACUCCCAUUACCAAGAUGUAGCUACCAAAGGACGGAGAUUUGGGAUCAGACAUUCAAUACCUUUACCCCAGCCCUUGAGGACAACUUCCUCCUAUGGGACUGAGGACUCUAAGAGGUCACCAGAGCUCCUCCAUUGCAUGGACUGUCUACUCUUCAUCCCUGCCCAGGAGCCCUCUGCCCUUAGUGAGUUCUUCUCUUUGUUUCCCAUCAUCCUUUUCCCUGCCUGAAUCCAGCCCACAGGGAUUAGCUCAGUUUUCUUAUCUUCUAGGAAGCCAAUCCACAAAGAACACUCAAAAUGCAUAAAAUCUCCUUAUGGCACUUAAAUGUUUAUGGGUAAUAAAAGGAGUCAUUCUUCUCUCCUUA